GGUGGUGUGGCUGAGAGGUCUAAGGUGCUGGAUUAAGGCUCCAGUCUCUUUGGGGGCACGGGUUUGAAUCCCAUCGCUGCCA
rnacentral:tRNA from 1 species